rnacentral:rRNA from 1 species
UAGGGAAUCUUCCGCAAUGGACGAAAGUCUGACGGAGCAACGCCGCGUGAACGAAGAAGGCCUUCGGGUCGUAAAGUUCUGUUGUUAGGGAAGAACAAGUACCAGAGUAACUGCUGGUACCUUGACGGUACCUAACCAGAAAGCCACGGCUAACUACGUGCCAGCAGCCGCGGUAAUACGUAGGUGACAAGCGUUGUCCGGAAUUAUUGGGCGUAAAGCGCGCGCAGGUGGUUCCUUAAGUCUGAUGUGAAAGCCCACGGCUCAACCGUGGAGGGUCAUUGGAAACUGGGGAACUUGAGUGCAGAAGAGGAAAGUGGAAUUCCAAGUGUAGCGGUGAAAUGCGUAGAGAUUUGGAGGAACACCAGUGGCGAAGGCGACUUUCUGGUCUGUAACUGACACUGAGGCGCGAAAGCGUGGGGAGCAAACAGGAUUAGAUACCCUGGUAGUCCACGCCGUAAACGAUGAGUGCUAAGUGUUAGAGGGUUUCCGCCCUUUAGUGCUGCAGCUAACGCAUUAAGCACUCCGCCUGGGGAGUACGGCCGCAAGGCUG